rnacentral:rRNA from 1 species
CCUACGGGCGGCAGCAGUAGGGAAUCUUUCACAAUGGGCGAAAGCCUGAUGGAGCAACGCCGCGUGCAGGAUGAAGGCCUUCGGGUUGUAAACUGCUUUUAUAAGCGAGAAAUAUGAUGGUAACUUAUGAAUAAGGAUCGGCUAACUACGUGCCAGCAGCCGCGGUCAUACGUAGGAUCCGAGCAUUAUCCGGAGUGACUGGGUGUAAAGAGUUGCGUAGGUGGCAUAAUAAGUAGCUAGUGAAAUCUGGUGGCUCAAACAUUCAGACUAUUGGCUAAACUGUUAAGCUCGAGACCGUUAGGGGUAACUGGAAUGUCUAGUGUAGGAGUGAAAUCCGUAGAUAUUAGAAGGAACACCAAUAGCGUAGGCAGGUUGCUGGGACGGUUCUGACACUAAGGCACGAAAGCGUAGGGAGCAAACGGGAUUAGAUACCCUGGUAGUC